rnacentral:rRNA from 1 species
UAUAAUAAUAUCUUUGGUUGGGGCAACCACGAAGAAAAAAAAACCUUUGUCCUAAAAAAAAAUUUACAAAUUUAAAAUUUACAAAAAAAAGAUCCGGAAAACCGAGCAAAGAAAAAAGUUACCGCAGGGAUAACAGCGUUAUUCUCUUUAAGAGUUCAUAUUGACAAGAGAGUUUGCGACCUCGAUGUUGGACCGGGACACCCAAGAGGUGUAGCAGCCUCUAAAGGUAGGUCUGUUCGACCUUUAAAGCCCUACGCGAUCUGAGUUCAGACCGACGCAAGUCAGGUCAGUUUCUAUCUA